UACGUAGGGUGCGAGCGUUGUCCGGAAUUAUUGGGCGUAAAGAGCUUGUAGGCGGUUUGUCGCGUCUGCCGUGAAAAUCCGGGGCUCAACCCCGGACUUGCGGUGGGUACGGGCAGACUAGAGUGUGGUAGGGGAGAUUGGAAUUCCUGGUGUAGCGGUGGAAUGCGCAGAUAUCAGGAGGAACACCGAUGGCGAAGGCAGAUCUCUGGGCCGUAACUGACGCUGAGGAGCGAAAGCAUGGGGAGCGAACAGG
rnacentral:rRNA from 1 species